rnacentral:rRNA from 1 species
CAAUAGCGUAUAUUAAAGUUGUUGCAGUUAAAAAGCUCGUAGUUGGAUCUCGGGUCCAGGCUUGCGGUCCGCCUCGCGGCGGUUACUGCUCGUCCUGACCUACCUCCCGGUUUUCCCUUGGUGCUCUUGACUGAGUGUCUCGGGUGGCCGGAACGUUUACUUUGAAAAAAUUAGAGUGUUCAAGGCAGGCACUUCGCCUGAAUAAUGGUGCAUGGAAUAAUGGAAUAGGACCUCGGUUCUAUUUUGUUGGUUUUCGGAACUUGAGGUAAUGAUUAAGAGGGACGGAUGGGGGCAUUCGUAUUACGGUGUUAGAGGUGAAAUUCUUGGAUCGCCGUAAGACGAACGACUGCGAAAGCAUUUGCCAAAAAUGUUUUCUUUAGUCAAGAACGAAAGUCAGAGGUU